GUGAAUGUGGCUCAGUUGCCAGAGUGCCUGCCUAGUGUGCAUGAAGUCCUGGGUUCAAAUCCCAAUAUCACA
rnacentral:tRNA from 1 species